AUCGAAACCAAUUUUAAAAUUAUUCCAUUAACAAUUUUUACCCCUGCCGUAGCAUUAUCAAUUGGCUCGGCAAUAAUCAAGAGCAAUCUUUCAUACGCAAGCAAAAUGAUGGCCGCCGUGAAGUAUUAUGGAAUCCAAACCUCCACUUUGCCGACGGCAGAACCAUCAUGGCCGUACAUUUACCGUACAGAUGGAUCUCUUGGAAAUAGAAAGCAGAACAACAAAUCACACUCACGCAUAAACCACCCCAAAAGCAAAAAAAAAACAAACGCUCUCUCUCUGUUUUUCUGAUUGCUCUCACAGCUGUUGUUGCUCUUCCUUCCACUUCCACUACACCCGCUGAGAGAUCCAACAACAAAACUUGGCCGACUUUAUGCUGCCAGCUCUCUGCUG
rnacentral:lncRNA from 1 species